UGGCGCAGUGGCUCUUCUAUUCUGCGAACAAGUAUCUCGCCUUUUACUAGAUACUUCCGUGGGAGGGCCACAAUGAAACGCGUCUACGUGAAUUUUUGGAAACCACUCCUUGCUCGUU
rnacentral:snRNA from 1 species